CUCACACUCGAGUCCUGACCGAGGGCCUUGAAACUUGCAUGCCUGUUCAAAACAUCUCCAGGACAACAAGGUUAUUUUGUGUUGACGUGUAUUGAAUUCUUAAGGGCAAAGAAGAUGAAGGAGAAUGCGUGCAGUGGGCUGAAUGGAGAAUUCGUGAAUCAAAGGCAACACCAUCAAAUGCAUUAUGAAAUUAAGCACUAUCAGGUUGUCAAGGCUGUAGCUCAGCGGGCACAUGGUCCUGGAUACCCGAUUUUUUUUUUAUUUAUAUAUGGAAUCUGAAUGCACUCUCCAAGAAAUGCUGCAGUUCUUUGUGCCACAAGAGGCCAAGAAGCUCUACUACAAGAAGUUGAGGCAGAAGAUGAAGAUUAUUACAAAUUAUCCAAGUCAGUUCCGACCAAGUAAUUUGAUUGGACAAGAGGCAUUCCAGUGCUGAUAUAGAGUAUAACAGCACUGGGUCUUUUAACUAUACACGUAUCGCUCCGCUUUACGGGUGUUCUCAUAACCGUUAAUGUUAUUAACAAUCUUUUUGUAGCUUAGAUUGCAGCUAACUUUGCACAGCAAAUAUGAACAUGUUUCCAGGAAUAACAUUGGAGUUGAAUUAAGAAUGGUCGCCAGAAGAGGACCAAGGGAACCUAAUGCUAAUGUGUUUAUGUGUUGCUUGGCAACAGUUCAGUUCAGUUGCGGAUCUAUUUGUGUUGGCGGAGCCAAAUAAAUCAUUAAUGAACCAAAGAAAUCUGAUCAUAAUAUGUUGUUAAUUAUUAUUGUUAACUAAUGAUUGGUGCUUGUAGAACUGUUGUAUAAAAGCAAUAUCACUCAGGAGGGAGUGCUGUUGUACUACGGCUGGGAUUCGGUCGUAGGUACGAGGCCGUUGGCCGAGUGCCGAAGAGAAUCACAGCCGUGCUGAUAUUCAGUACAACAGCACUCCCUCUCGUGUGAUAUUGCUUAAUUAUUCUGUUCCAAAAUUCCAUAAAAAGUCUGAUUACUAAGAAAUAUUGAUGUAUCAUUACUUUUGUCAGUUUCAAGUUUUUGUUUCAACACAGGGGUACCAACAAUGUGUAUGAUGUAUGACUACCUGAAAGCAUUUGUCGAUGACCUCACCCAGCUGCUGAGAGAACCUUCGGAGGUAAAGCUCUAAAGGUGUGCUCCUUUAUAAGCGAUGCUCCAGCAUGUGCUUUUUUCCAAAACAGUGUGCUAUCCUCUGGUUCAGUCUUUAUCAUCUACAGUUGAUUUAGGUACAAAAAAUCCCAUUUCACAUAUCCCAAUGAUUAAAUGCACCUCUGCUGUUUGGGUGUAAAUUUUGCCAUCACUAUUUCUUGUUACGGAGAUGAGGACAACUACUUGCCUCUUUCAUGCAUCUCCUUUGUCCACAUCUAUGUUUGGGGAAUGUAAUUUGAAGCCAUUCCUCAAGUGUUUGCUAUGCCUCAUUGUUUAUUACACUGCAUACUGCAUUGGCACACUUGGGAAAAAAAUAUAUAUUUUAUUCAAUUUCUUCCCUUCUACAAUGCGGCAGCAUAAUCAUUACUACAGAUUUUUUUUCCCCACUUUAUUCUGUUUUGGGCAUUUCCUACCAGUGCAAAGAUGUUUAAAUUAGUCACUGAAAGCAGUGUUCUGAAAUGAUAUCAAAAAUAGUUGUGGCCUGUAUAUGUAUGCAUGGCCUUCACAUAUUUUUUGUAAAGCUGUACAUGUCUUUAAAGAUAUUGAUGCGGAUGUUUCCACAUUUACAUUUCUCAGUGCAAAUGGGUUUUUGAAUACGUUUCUGAAAGUAGUGCUUUGAGAUGUUUGAGAUAACAAACAUUUAAUAUGUUGGAAAUAUUUUUGGUCGCUGUGUCAUAAUUCAGCUUAAUAUUUAAUAUAUUGUUUCUUAUGGCACAUUAACAAGAAAAUGUCAAACUGGCACUGAAUGUUGAAAAGGUUGCUGACCCCUGGUUACUGUAUUCCCUCUCCCGCUCCAUUACAUGUAUGUUCGUUUAUUUCAAGUAAACUUGUUUUUCUGUGUUAUUACAACCUUGCAACACA